GCAUUCUAUCCUUCAUUCCACCGGAGUCUGUGUCAUGAACCAAUCAGAUUUCAGUGGUAUGAAGAGUAAGAAACA
rnacentral:pre_miRNA from 1 species